GAGAAUGAAGGACUUAAACGAUGGGGCAAGAUGCUGGCAGCACUGAUGGUGGGCUGGGACUGCUCUGCAAACAUAUGGCAAGAAAAAGGUCCCAUUUGGGCUGGGAGAAGCAUCCAGAGAGAAGUGAUGGCAGCACCCACCUUCAUCUCUGAGACAGGAGCUCCAGGAUGGGAAAUCACAAUGGAGUGAAGCUGGAUAAAGUUUUAAACGACUGGAAACUGAUGCCUGCAAUGGAAAGUGUGGAACAGCCUAUCUGGUCUUUCUCUUCUGUUCCCUGGAUUUUAGAGAGCCUUUCCAUAUUGCAUUAAGUAGUUUUCAUCAUCUUCAGGAAACCCCUCUUAAUGCACCAAGACUUCUCUGCCCCUUCUAGCCCGACUUUCUCCAGCCUCCGAUGCCCACAGACAUCAGCCACGUGGGACACUGUGCAUCGCAUCCUGCAAAGCAAACAGCUCGGGUGAAGGUGGGACUGAUGUAAGGAGCUGGACACAGUCCUGGCCUGCCCAGCCCCACGCUGUGAAAGGCUGUGCCACCUCGAUCCCAUCAGGCCAGACAGAGUUCUUUCGGGCUGCAUUUCUUGCUUGGGACAUGGAAGUGAGAGUAAGAAACCAAGCUGGCAGUGGCAGCUCCCUGUUUCCCCCCAGGUUUGAUGUUGCAUGGCGCUUUGGGGGAUGCCAGAAGCCCGGCUGGCAUUUGCCCUGUGGGAAAUGUUCUCAUCUGGGUGCAGCUCCGUGGUGCUGAGCCAUACCAAGCACUGCAUGAGAGCAGCGAUCUGCCCUGAUAGCACUCAGGGAAAUGCGACACACGAAAUAAAAUCACUCCCCCAGGCUGGGAAGGGACCCAGAGGUUUCCUGAAGUUCAUUCACCUCCAAUGAUCAGCUCAGAAAACUGCGCACAGCUGCAUUUCAUUCCCCAAGAUAUUGAAAAACCAAUAAAUAAAACCAAGCAGAGAGCGCUGCC
rnacentral:lncRNA from 7 species